rnacentral:pre_miRNA from 1 species
UAAGGAGUUGAUUUUGGAAGAAUUUCAGCUGGUUGUGCCACCAAUGGUAGAACAGCUGCGGGUUUUAUUGGUACGUUGGUGACUCAACCGGUUGGAACUCUUCCAAAAUCAACUCCGGG